UUGUCACUGGACGAAGUGAAUGGGUCAUAUGGGCUUGUCCAAGUUCCGACCCAGGAAAGUCCCCGGGCCACUUAUCCGCAGAGAUGCGGCCUCGGUAACGAGAGAAUCUUGCGGUGGAGAGAUUCAAAUUGCUGAGACGCGUGUGUGGAGCUUAUGUGGUCUCUCCGCCGAUGAUAUCAUGGCCGUUCGACAGUUAUUCACCUCUUCCUCUAUGGACUAACUGAACGGGGCUUACGUUUCAAUGACA
rnacentral:RNase_MRP_RNA from 2 species